GGGAUGUGCGCACAAUGCGUGCCUCCCUUCCAUGCGCACGGUGUAGCGUCAGGACCUGCACACAUCCUGUCGAGCACAGGCAAGCUGUCUGCGCGUACCUCUCGCGUGCCAUUUAUGUAACAGGUUAGCAUGGAUAGGCCUUGUGCGCCUAGGGCCUGUACGCGUGCAAGCUAGCCCUUGCCCACGUAAUGGGAAACCUAUGCUCCUGCAGGCUACCUGCAGUGUGCC
rnacentral:lncRNA from 1 species